rnacentral:rRNA from 1 species
GGGUUGUGAGGUUAAGCGACUAAGCGUACACGGUGGAUGCCCUGGCAGUCAGAGGCGAUGAAGGACGUGCUAAUCUGCGAUAAGCGCCGGUAAGGUGAUAUGAACCGUUAUAACCGGCGAUUUCCGAAUGGGGAAACCCAGUGUGACUCGUCACACUAUCAUUAACUGAAUCCAUAGGUUAAUGAGGCGAACCGGGGGAACUGAAACAUCUAAGUACCCCGAGGAAAAGAAAUCAACCGAGAUUCCCCCAGUAGCGGCGAGCGAACGGGGAGGAGCCCAGAGCCUGAAUCAGCAUGUGUGUUAGUGGAAGCGUCUGGAAAGGCGCGCGAUACAGGGUGACAGCCCCGUACACAAAAGCGCAUGUGCUGUGAGCUCGAUGAGUAGGGCGGGACACGUGGUAUCCUGUCUGAAUAUGGGGGGACCAUCCUCCAA